GAUGAACGCUGGCGGCGCGCCUAACACAUGCAAGUCGAACGAUUAAAGCACCUUCGGGUGUGUAUAAAGUGGCGAACGGCUGAGUAACACGUGGGCAACCUGCCCCUCUCAUUGGGAUAGCCACGGGAAACCGUGGAUAAUACCGAAUACUUCGGGACUUCCGCAUGGAAGACUCGAGAAAGCUCCGGCGGAGAGGGAUGGGCCCGCGGCCUGUUAGCUUGUUGGUGGGGUAAUGGCCUACCAAGGCAAUGAUGGGUAGCUGGGUUGGGAGACCGACCAGCCAGAUUGGGACUGAGACACGGCCCAGACGCCUACGGGAGGCAGCAGUGGGGAAUCUUGCACAAUGGGCGAAGGCCUGAUGCAGCGACGCCGCGUGCGGGAGGAAGGCCUUCGGGUUGUAAACCGCUUUCAGCAGGGACGAGGCGAAAGUGACGGUACCUGCAGAAGAAGCCCCGGCUAACUACGU
rnacentral:rRNA from 1 species